AGGGUUAGGCCACCGGCUUCGGGUGUUACCAGACUUUCGUGACUUGACGGGCGGUGUGUACAAGGCCCGGGAACGUAUUCACCGCAGCGUUGCUGAUCUGCGAUUACUAGCGACUCCGACUUCAUGGGGUCGAGUUGCAGACCCCAAUCCGAACUGAGACCGGCUUUUUGGGAUUAGCUCCACCUCACAGUAUCGCAACCCAUUGUACCGGCCAUUGUAGCAUGCGUGAAGCCCAAGACAUAAGGGGCAUGAUGAUUUGACGUCGUCCUCACCUUCCUCCGAGUUGACCCCGGCAGUCUCCCAUGAGUCCCCACCACUACGUGCUGGCAACAUGGAACGAGGGUUGCGCUCGUUGCGGGACUUAACCCAACAUCUCACGACACGAGCUGACGACAACCAUGCACCACCUGUGAACCCGCCCCAAAGGGGAAACCGUAUCUCUACGGCGAUCGAGAACAUGUCAAGCCUUGGUAAGGUUCUUCGCGUUGCAUCGAAUUAAUCCGCAUGCUCCGCCGCUUGUGCGGGCCCCCGUCAAUUCCUUUGAGUUUUAGCCUUGCGGCCGUACUCCCCAGGCGGGGCACUUAAUGCGUUAGCUGCGGCGCGGAAACCGUGGAAUGGUCCCCCACACCUAGUGCCCAACGUUUACGGCAUGGACUACCAGGGUAUCUAAUCCUGUUCGCUCCCCAUGCUUUCGCUCCUCAGCGUCAGUUACAGCCCAGAGACCUGCCUUCGCCAUCGGUGUUCCUCCUGAUAUCUGCGCAUUCCACCGCUACACCAGGAAUUCCAGUCUCCCCUACUGCACUCUAGUCUGCCCGUACCCACCGCAGAUCCGGGGUUAAGCCCCGGACUUUCACGACAGACGCGACAAACCGCCUACGAGCUCUUUACGCCCAAUAAUUCCGGAUAACGCUCGCACCCUACGUAUUACCGCGGCUGCUGGCACGUAGUUAGCCGGUGCUUCUUCUGCAGGUACCGUCACUUUCGCUUCUUCCCUACUGAAAGAGGUUUACAACCCGAAGGCCGUCAUCCCUCACGCGGCGUCGCUGCAUCAGGCUUGCGCCCAUUGUGCAAUAUUCCCCACUGCUGCCUCCCGUAGGAGUCUGGGCCGUGUCUCAGUCCCAGUGUGGCCGGUCACCCUCUCAGGCCGGCUACCCGUCGUCGCCUUGGUGAGCCAUUACCUCACCAACAAGCUGAUAGGCCGCGAGUCCAUCCAAAACCGAUAAAUCUUUCCAACACCCACCAUGCGGUGGACGCUCCUAUCCGGUAUUAGACCCAGUUUCCCAGGCUUAUCCCAGAGUUAAGGGCAGGUUACUCACGUGUUACUCACCCGUUCGCCACUAAUCCACCCAGCAAGCUGG
rnacentral:rRNA from 1 species